UUUUUUAGUGUGUCAUGGAAUGAUGCAGGCGUUGUCCUUGUUUUCAAAGUCGGAAGUUUUGUUUUACGGACUGAAAUUGGUGUAAUGGGGAUAGGCUUUACACCACGUAGGGGUCUUCGCACAACUUUUGAAACAACUACAGUUUGUUUUUGUUGGUUGGCAUCCAGAUCCACACCUUCAGUGAUGUAGGGUGUUUGUUCACAUCCCUGGAUAACGGUGCUCGACGUAUUAAUUGAACUUCAUGAUGGAUUACCUAAUAUUAAAACAUGUGAACAUGACUAUCUAAUAUAAAAAUAAAAAUAUUCUACAUAAACCUUUCAAAGAAUUAGGAGAACGCACCGCUAUUCUUGUCAACCUUACAAGUCUGUCGAGCUGGACUAAAUAACACCGGUGCCUUCCCUAUUUGGUCAUCGUGAAGAAAUGGUUACUUUUUGCAUGUGAAAAUGUUUGAUGAAAUGAGUGAGUUGUAAUAUUAUAUCACUAACUUACCUUGGUCGAGUUGUAUAGUUUGUGAAAGUAGAAUUUUUGUGCGUUUCUUAUCAGGAGAAACUGACGAGUCGCUCGGUGUAUCUUCAUUACAAAACAAAUUAGUAAAUAAAAUUCCUUGAUAAACAAUCCAAAAUAAGUAUCCGUUUUUAAAAAUUACCUGGAACAACGAUGGUUGUUCGACGCGAUCGGCGAACCAUUCUUGCUAACUAAGAUAAUGAGCUUUUACUAAAUAAAAUACAUAUGAAAAUGGUAUCAUUAAAUAUAUAAUGCACAACAACAAUAAUGUAUAACUCAACAAAUUGUCAUUAUCAUAUAUGCCCAAUUCAUAAAUGAAAUUUUUAUCAUUAUAUAUAUCUCCCACAUGCAGAGUGUGUAUUUUUAGCUCAAAUACUAUGAAAUAUGAUUGGUGACAUCAGCACGUAGGGGUUCAACAUAAUUUUUCAUUUCUAACACAAUAAUUCAAUGCACAAUGGCGAAUGUUCGUAGGAGUUCAACAAAAGCACUUAAUUCGAACACCAAAUGGCGAAUGUUCGUAGGAGUUCAACAGAAGCACUUAAUUCGAACACCAUUGUUCAAUGCAUGUUCUGAUGAGUCAUCACAGAACAGUAUAUAUCAUGAACAGCAACCGACAGAUCCAAAUUUUCGUAUAUAUCGAAAAUAAAAAGAUUGUUUAUGGUAGGUGAAUUGUUUAGUAUAUCAAACAAAUAUGAAAGGUAAGAAUCUACCAGAACACUUCCAAUUAGAAAUCAAUCAAAUAACCUUAUAUAAUUCUUGACGGUGUGCAAAAUCACUAACCUGAUUUGGCUGCAGGUGUUUAUUCUUUAAAAAACCAGAAGCUUUUGAUUUAGGACGACAGAAUUACCAGGAAUUUCAAAACGGCGGUGGAUGGAUGUGAGCAACGAUAGUUCGUCGAAGUACUAGAUGUGAGACCUUAAAUCUGGAUUUAUAUCUUCCCGGCUGGCCAAAAAUACGGGUGACAUAUAAUCAAAAUCCAUGUUAAUGAAAGAAGAUCGUAAGUAAAAUUGGAAUGAGAG
rnacentral:lncRNA from 1 species